AAUACAAAACUUGGUAUCGGAGCAAGAAAUGAUUGUGCAAAAAGCAAAUACUAUGUAGACUCUAGCAGUAAGUAUCAAAUCAUCGCUGCUGAGUAUCUUGGAGAAGGAACUGUCGUAGAACCGCCAUGGUUACAGUACAUGAGGGAAUGGGGUCCAACCAUUGAGUACAAAUCGGGUUAUGAAGUGGACGAGAUAAUCAAACACCUCCCGUCUUUUUUCAGGUUUUCAGUAGAGACUCUCGUCGAGCUAUUUCCAAAUGAACUUUAUGGUGAAGCAGGGCCAACAGGACCUAAGGAGAAGAACAACUGGUUCGGGGAUGAAAGGUGGU
rnacentral:misc_RNA from 1 species